CUCAGCCCGAGGCCAUUAGUAACUAGCUGGUAAACAUUGUGCAGAAUUUGGCAGCUUAAGAGCCAGAUAUUUCCUUCAGAAGUCGGUGGAGACUAAAACAGAGCUC